GUCAUUAUGAUUGAUAUGAUUCCAUUUGUACUAAUAGUAAGUUAUCUUGGGAGAUAUUGCCUAAGAACCAAUUAUCAUCAUGUUGCCAUCAACAUCAUCUUUGCAAUAAGAGGUCCUACAUUUAAUAUGACAACCAAAACAUGCUUCUUUGUUGGAAUAUAAAGAAGUCUUCAUUUUCCUGUGUCCAAGAAACAUUUAGUACAAUUUUAUUUAGGCAAUAAAUCCAUACAAACACAAAAGCAAGUAUUGAUUCAGAUUGUACUAUUUCAAGUACUCCCAAGCAAAAGUUAGUGAGAAAAAUACAUAAAAAUGGGCAACUAUAGUAGAGCCAGGCAUCAGAAAAUAGUAUCUUCUUUUCCCACUUUAGCUACUUUCACAUUAAUAUGAAAUCCAGCAUUAUUUAUGAUCCAGUAUUUUAUAGCACAUGCUCAUAGGCUCUUGCUUUAGAUAAGCCAGAAACACUAAGAGACUCUGAGAGUUCCACAAAUUCCUAAGUGAUGAUUCAUUUAAAUGAGGGGAAUCCAAACUGUCCUAUUCUCCUGUCUGCUAAUAACUAAGGCAUCCAUAAAUCCUAGAAAAAUUAGCUUUGCAUAGAAGUCUGAUCAACUAUGCUGGAAGAAUGAGAUAGUCUGAAGUAGUCCAAAGGGUUGCCAAUAACAAACAUUUAGUUUUCUCUCAAAUUCAUUAAAAGGGAGACCAAAUGUCUUGGUUGAGGGAAGAGCUGAGCCCCUACUAAAUUUCAGUUGAAAAUGCUUUUUGGCCAAUCCAGAGCUCCUUGAGUCAAAAGGGAAAUACAAAGCCACUGCUUUUGUAGAUAACAAAUUGGUUCGGUCAAGGGAAGACUGCAGAUCUGACAAGAAAAAAAUGGCAUGCUCAAGAGAAGAUGAAUUUUGACCGUAUUUCAUUAUAGAAGACCACAAUGAAAGAAAAAUGACUUCAUCAAUCCCAUUCUAGGAGCCCUGGUGAGGCUAAGAAUAAAAGAAGAAAGCCACUGGAACUGGCUUCCUAUCAUACAAGUUGCACCCGUCAAUCCAAGGCAGCUUGAGAGAGGUGCAUGCUCACAGCUGACAGUGGGUAAAUCACAAUUAUCAAGACCUUAUUAGCUAUUGCCCUAGAGUUAAAGAGGGUCAUUUGCCUCUAAAGGGUAGCAAUCAAUUGCUUUGUAUGGGCUACAACUCAUAAGGCCAAGGUCAAGGUAUGGUGAUGGAAAAUUAGGUUAGAUAUCAUAAAUCCUCCGGUACCAAUCCUUUUUAUUUGAACAAGAGUGCUGUAAACUAUCAGCCCUAAAGACAGGCUUGUGGGAAAUAUAUCAGAAUCCAAAAUCAUAGUGAAUUUUCUGAUGGAUAAAAUAGAAUAACCUAGAAAAGAUUGAAUUUUCUUCACUUGAUAAGAAGAAAAAGGAAUUCACCCUGCCUUGAUGCACAUGGUUAAUUCUUCAGAGCAGCAACUACUCAUCAAAAAAAGAUGAAAAGAUACUUCAUAGAAGAAAGAUUUUCUUAUUUCUUUUCCUCUUCUUCUCUUGCUCUGAUUCAACUAACCCUAUGUCCUAAAUGAAUAAAGAAAGGGUCAAAAGUAGCAGAUACCAUGAGGUUGAUAUUGAUUAAUUC
rnacentral:lncRNA from 1 species